rnacentral:rRNA from 1 species
AAAUUGAAGAGUUUGAUCAUGGCUCAGAUUGAACGCUGGCGGCAGGCCUAACACAUGCAAGUCGAACGGUAGCACAGAGGAGCUUGCUCCUUGGGUGACGAGUGGCGGACGGGUGAGUAAUGUCUGGGAAACUGCCCGAUGGAGGGGGAUAACUACUGGAAACGGUAGCUAAUACCGCAUAACGU